ensembl:lncRNA
GCUGUGAUUGCCUUGUCGGCAAAUCUAACAGUUUUCAAUUAUGCAUUUAAUAAAUUAAUUGAAUUUCCAUAGUAACAAGAGAAUUUGCUACAUGGUGAGUUUACCCUAGAAUUGCCCUGUUUUAGAGAGGGCCCACGUGUUUGCCAUGCGGUGAAACAUUAGCCAGAUUCCAUUUGACCAAUCUAUAACGGUAGUAGUUUGCAGGCUAGGUAUGUAGCAGUUCGUAAUGUGUGUUAAAGGAUGACAGCACAAGACUAUAUAGUCUCUGAUACAGCAUGAUGGUCUUUCACAGUGCACUGAAAACGCAUGUUUAUACACCAACGAUUAUCACUGUAAUGUCACUUAUGAACGGUCAUCAGUGUUUCAACCUUCUUUCAGCAGUCUGCCGGGUAUGGAGGCUCUUGUGACUAUGGGCUCAAGCAAACCUUGGCAAAUUUUGUGCCCCCCUUAUCACCAGGCCUUCCACACACUCAACUGGUAAAGCCCAGUUACUGGACCUGGAGACCGGAUGUCUGUCUUUACAGUGGCUUGCAGGAGGGCAAGGUUCUUUCAUUUAAAGGUGUUCCUGUACCUGGAAUGUGAUGUCGGUCUUUACUUGCAGGAGGGGAAGGUCCUUUCAUUUCAAGAUUGACUUGGAUGGAAUCAUGGUCUGUCUACGAUCAAGCUAGAUGCUCCAGGUGUGAAGUCAUGAGGUGUUCCUGUACCUGGAAUGUGAUGUCGGUCUUUACAGGGGCUUGCAGGAGGGGAAGGUCCUUUCAUUUCAAGAUUGACUUGGAUGGAAUCAUGGUCAGUCUACGAUCAAGCUAGAAGCUCCAGUUGUGAAGUCAUGAGGUGUUGCUGUUAUGAAGAUCUACAUUAACUGCACUGGGACCCAACAACCUCCAAGACUCAUAAAUUCGAAAUAAAUUUCUUUA